rnacentral:rRNA from 1 species
UGUGCCAGCAGCCGCGGUAAUACGUAGGGGGCGAGCGUUGUCCGGAAUUACUGGGCGUAAAGGGUGCGUAGGCGGCCCUUUAAGUCAGAUGUGAAAGCCCGCAGCUUAACUGCGGAAUUGCAUUUGAAACUGGAGGGCUUGAGUGUCGGAGAGGGUAGUGGAAUUCCCAGUGUAGCGGUGAAAUGCGUAGAUAUUGGGAGGAACACCAGUGGCGAAGGCGACUGCCUGGACGAUAACUGACGCUGAGGCACGAAAGCUAGGGGAGCAAACAGGAUUAGAUACCCUGGUAGUCCUAGCCGUAAACGAUGGGUACUAGGUGUAGGUGGUUUCGAUACCAUCUGUGCCGUAGUUAACGCAUUAAGUACCCCGCCUGGGGAGUACGUGCGCAAGCAUGAAACUCAAAGGAAUUGACGGGGGCCCGCACAAGCGGUGGAGCAUGUGGUUUAAUUCGAAGCAACGCGAAGAACCUUACCAGGUCUUGACAUCCCUGGACAGCUGUGGAAACACAGUUUCCCUUCGGGGCCAGGAGACAGGUGGUGCAUGGUUGUCGUCAGCUCGUGUCGUGAGAUGUUGGGUUAAGUCCCGCAACGAGCGCAACCCUUGCCUUUAGUUGCCAUCAUUAAGUUGGGGACUCUAAAGGGACUGCCGGUGACAAAUCGGAGGAAGGUGGGGAUGACGUCAAAUCAUCAUGCCCCUUAUGAUCUGGGCUACACACGUGCUACAAUGGGUGGUACAGAGGGAAGCGAAGCCGUGAGGCGGAGCGAAUCCCAGAAAGCCACUCUCAGUUCGGAUUGCAGGCUGCAACUCGCCUGCAUGAAGUCGGAAUCGCUAGUAAUCGCAGGUCAGCAUACUGCGGUGAAUACGUUCCCGGGCCUUGUACACACCGCCCGUCACACCACGAAAGUUCGCAACACCCGAAGCCGGUGGCCUAACCGCAAGGAGGGAGCCGUCGAAGGUAAACUCGAUGACUAGGGUGAAGUCGUAACAAGGUAACCA